GUGUGACUGCGUACCUUUUGUAUAAUGGGUCAGCGACUUAUAUUCUGUAGCAAGGUUAACCGAAUAGGGGAGCCGAAGGGAAACCGAGUCUUAACUGGGCGUUAAGUUGCAGGGUAUAGACCCGAAACCCGGUGAUCUAGCCAUGGGCAGGUUGAAGGUUGGGUAACACUAACUGGAGGACCGAACCGACUAAUGUUGAAAAAUUAGCGGAUGACUUGUGGCUGGGGGUGAAAGGCCAAUCAAACCGGGAGAUAGCUGGUUCUCCCCGAAAGCUAUUUAGGUAGCGCCUCGUGAAUUCAUCUCCGGGGGUAGAGCACUGUUUCGGCAAGGGGGUCAUCCCGACUUACCAACCCGAUGCAAACUGCGAAUACCGGAGAAUGUUAUCACGGGAGACACACGGCGGGUGCUAACGUCCGUCGUGAAGAGGGAAACAACCCAGACCGCCAGCUAAGGUCCCAAAGUCAUGGUUAAGUGGGAAACGAUGUGGGAAGGCCCAGACAGCCAGGAUGUUGGCUUAGAAGCAGCCAUCAUUUAAAGAAAGCGUAAUAGCUCACUGGUCGAGUCGGCCUGCGCGGAAGAUGUAACGGGGCUAAACCAUGCACCGAAGCUGCGGCAGCGACACUGUGUGUUGUUGGGUAGGGGAGCGUUCUGUAAGCCUGCGAAGGUGUGCUGUGAGGCAUGCUGGAGGUAUCAGAAGUGCGAAUGCUGACAUAAGUAACGAUAAAGCGGGUGAAAAGCCCGCUCGCCGGAAGACCAAGGGUUCCUGUCCAACGUUAAUCGGGGCAGGGUGAGUCGACCCCUAAGGCGAGGCCGAAAGGCGUAGUCGAUGGGAAACAGGUUAAUAUUCCUGUACUUGGUGUUACUGCGAAGGGGGGACGGAGAAGGCUAUGUUGGCCGGGCGACGGUUGUCCCGGUUUAAGCGUGUAGGCUGGUUUUCCAGGCAAAUCCGGAAAAUCAAGGCUGAGGCGUGAUGACGAGGCACUACGGUGCUGAAGCAACAAAUGCCCUGCUUCCAGGAAAAGCCUCUAAGCAUCAGGUAACAUCAAAUCGUACCCCAAACCGACACAGGUGGUCAGGUAGAGAAUACCAAGGCGCUUGAGAGAACUCGGGUGAAGGAACUAGGCAAAAUGGUGCCGUAACUUCGGGAGAAGGCACGCUGAUAUGUAGGUGAAGUCCCUCGCGGAUGGAGCUGAAAUCAGUCGAAGAUACCAGCUGGCUGCAACUGUUUAUUAAAAACACAGCACUGUGCAAACACGAAAGUGGACGUAUACGGUGUGACGCCUGCCCGGUGCCGGAAGGUUAAUUGAUGGGGUCAGCGCAAGCGAAGCUCUUGAUCGAAGCCCCGGUAAACGGCGGCCGUAACUAUAACGGUCCUAAGGUAGCGAAAUUCCUUGUCGGGUAAGUUCCGACCUGCACGAAUGGCGUAAUGAUGGCCAGGCUGUCUCCACCCGAGACUCAGUGAAAUUGAACUCGCUGUGAAGAUGCAGUGUACCCGCGGCAAGACGGAAAGACCCCGUGAACCUUUACUAUAGCUUGACACUGAACAUUGAGCCUUGAUGUGUAGGAUAGGUGGGAGGCUUUGAAGUGUGGACGCCAGUCUGCAUGGAGCCGACCUUGAAAUACCACCCUUUAAUGUUUGAUGUUCUAACGUUGACCCGUGAUCCGGGUUGCGGACAGUGUCUGGUGGGUAGUUUGACUGGGGCGGUCUCCUCCUAAAGAGUAACGGAGGAGCACGAAGGUUGGCUAAUCCUGGUCGGACAUCAGGAGGUUAGUGCAAUGGCAUAAGCCAGCUUGACUGCGAGCGUGACGGCGCGAGCAGGUGCGAAAGCAGGUCAUAGUGAUCCGGUGGUUCUGAAUGGAAGGGCCAUCGCUCAACGGAUAAAAGGUACUCCGGGGAUAACAGGCUGAUACCGCCCAAGAGUUCAUAUCGACGGCGGUGUUUGGCACCUCGAUGUCGGCUCAUCACAUCCUGGGGCUGAAGUAGGUCCCAAGGGUAUGGCUGUUCGCCAUUUAAAGUGGUACGCGAGCUGGGUUUAGAACGUCGUGAGACAGUUCGGUCCCUAUCUGCCGUGGGCGCUGGAGAACUGAGGGGGGCUGCUCCUAGUACGAGAGGACCGGAGUGGACGCAUCACUGGUGUUCGGGUUGUCAUGCCAAUGGCACUGCCCGGUAGCUAAAUGCGGAAGAGAUAAGUGCUGAAAGCAUCUAAGCACGAAACUUGCCCCGAGAUGAGUUCUCCCUGACUCCUUGA
rnacentral:rRNA from 1 species